UGACCUCAACUCAGUCGUGAUUACCCGCUGAAUUUAAGCAUAUAACUAAGCGGAGGAAAAGAAACUAACGAGGAUUUCCCUAGUAACGGCGAGUGAAAAGGAAAAAGCCCAACGCUGAAUCCAAUAGACAUUAUAUGGCUAUAUGGAAAUGUAGCGUAUAGGUAUAACUAUCCGUAACAUAUUUUUACACCCAAAGUCCCCUUGAGCGGGGCUACAGUCCAUAGAAGGUGCUAGACCUGUACGGGUGAAAAAAGUUACGGUAGGUUAUUCCUUGGAGUCGGGUUGUUUGAGAUUGCAGCCCAAAGAGGGUGGUAAACCUCAUCUAAGGCUAAAUACGACCAUGAGACCGAUAGCAAACAAGUCCCGUGAGGGAAAGUUGCAAAGAACUUUGAAGAGAGAGUUCAAGAGGGCGUGAAACCGCUGAGAUGGAAACGGAUAGAGUUAACAAAACUUAUCGGUAUUCAACCAAUCAAUUUAGCAAUCAUAAUUCAUUUCAUUAUUCAUUAAUAAUUUUUUUUUUUUUAUUAAUGAAUAAAAUGAUAUUAAUGCUAAAUUAGCAGUAUAUGCAUAGAUUGGUGUAUUUACCGAUGGUAUGCAUCGAGAACUUCAUUUUAGCAUAUUAAUACAAGUUAAUUUAGUGGACCAAUUAUUUCAAUUGAUAAUUGGAAUCCUAAAUUAUGUUGAAAUAUGUCUUAGAUGAAGUUUUUUUUUUUUUUUUCCCAUAUAUGUAACUUUCACUUGAAAUAAUAGUGACAUGUAUCGAUUAUAAUUUUGCUUAUUAUUAUUUUACAUGUGGUCGCAUGCGACUUUAUCGGUAAAAAUAAUUGGUAAUAUUAUAAUAUUGUAUGCAAUAAAGUUACAUCUCGAUGUGAACGUUAAUCACCUAUCUGACCCGUCUUGAAACACGGACCAAGGAGUCUAGCAUAUACGCAAGUUAUUGGGUAGUAAACCUAAUUUAAAAGAUAAAAAGCAUAAUGAAAGUAAAGAUUAUCUUUGGUAUAAUUGAUAUGUGAUCUAUAUAUAUAUAUAUAUAUAUGUAUGUAUAUAGCGUAACAUAACCCCGUUCAUGUUGCAUGCAAUAGGGCGGAGGUAGAGCGUAUAUGCUGGGACCCGAAAGAUGGGAACUAUACCUGAGCAGGAUGAAGCACAGAGGAAACUCUGGUGAAAGUCCGAAGCGAUUCUGACGUGCAAAUCGAUCGUCUGACUUUGGUAUAGGGGCGAAAGACUAAUCGAACUAUCUAGUAGCUGGUUCCCUCUGAAGUUCCCUCAGGAU
rnacentral:ncRNA from 1 species